UUCAAAGGAAGAAAACUUCUAUCUUUAAUCUCCAAAAUUAAAAUUUUAAUUUAAACUACCCUUUGA
rnacentral:tRNA from 1 species